rnacentral:lncRNA from 1 species
CUACGCCAAUUAGAAGCCAUCAACUAACUUACAUAACUAGGGACUUUCCAAUAGGAUGGACUAAACAAGGCAACUAUAUAAAUAUAAUUAAUCAAAUAUUUUCUUUGCCUUGUUUCCUUGUUCAUCCUAUAGAAGUCUUCCACUUGCAUUCCUUUGGUGGAGUCCCAAAUCACUUUUGAUUUGUUGCUGUCUGAUUCAUGAAUUGCUGUUUGCUCAGACAAAACUCUUUAAAAUUUUAUUCUGCCUCAGUUUAUACUUUAACAAUACCAAAACUUGUACACAAAUGUUCAUAGCAGCUUCUAGGUGUAGAGCCCAAAACCAGAAACAACCCAGGGUCCACCAACAGGUGAAUGGACAAACUGUAGUAAAACAGAUACACAAUGGAACACUGCUUAGCAAUAAAAAGGAAUAAACUCUGACACAUGCUUCACCAUGGAUAAAUAUCAACAAUUACUCUGAGUAAUAGGAGCCAGGCAACAGAAGUACUUACUAUAUGAUUCUAUUUAUAUAAAAUUUUAGAAAAUGCAAGGUAAUUUGUAGUUAACUGAAAGUAAAUCAGUCAAUGAUUGCCUGUGGGAGGUGGUACCAGGAAGGAAUUAUAAAAAGGGGUGAAAAAACUUUUGGGAGUAAUGGAUUUGCUCAUUACUUUGGUUGCAGUGAUGAUUUCACAGGUGUAUACAUAUGUUAAAACUUAUCAAAUUGCACACUUUAAAUAUGUGGUUUAUUUUAUGUCAAUUAUACCUCAAUGAAGCUGUUUAAAAAAUAAAGCCAAGUCAGAUUCAGUAGCAGUGCCAAAAAGGCAUUUGUAAAACAACAACAAAAAAAAACCCCUCCAGUUUGUUUACUGAAGUAUAAAGAUUUGUUGAUUAUGAAUUUGCAUUUAAAAAACAAAACUAAGCCCCUCAUCUCCCCAAAAAUAGAGUACUACAUAUUUACAUAUUCCUUUAAAGGUCUUACCAUAUCUUUUCUCCUUGCCUUGUGACUUGGAGACAACAGAAGUGUUAAAGAUAGUUAAUGCUACAGCACUGGUCCCUUACAUAAUAAUAAGACCCUUAAGGAGUUUUUACUCAAUCUUGAUUAUACACAAUUUUUGGUACUAUGAACACAAAUGUUAUGCAUCAUUUCCAGGACAUGUACAUUGCAUGCAGUAUGUCAAGCUAACUUGGAAGACUAAUCUACUGCCCUCUGAAAGAUAUAAUCCAUUUGAGUGUAUUAUAAAACAUAUUCUGUAUAAUCUUCCUAAAUUUUCUGCACAGAACAAUUUCUCAUUAAGGUUUUCAAAAACUAAAUUUAUAAUUUUGAGUUCAUUUUUUACAAAGCAAAAACAAAGCCACACAAUUAUUUGGAAAACAUAACCAGUCAGAAAACUAAAGCAUUAUGAAGUGUAAAUAUCUAGGAAGGAGGAGAUCAGAAUGUUUCAUUUCUUGAUAAGUUCUUGAUUACUUGAUAAGUAUUACAGUGAUGCAUGGGUUGUCAACAUGUUAUUGAAUAAGUGGUCUGUAAGUACUGAUCAUCUGAAAGCAGCACUUUUUCAACAAAUACUUGAUUACCUACUGUGUGUCAGGCACUGUGCUGAGUACCAAGGACAAGUAAUAUCAAAUGGAUCCUUUUAACAGCGUGUUUCUGGAGAAAACUAUAAUCAUGGUACCUGGAUUUCAGCAAGACAAAGGAGAAAAAUGUGCCAAACUGUGGCACAGCAAAAACCAGUUAAAGAGUCAAGUGUAACAGCUACUUAAUAGCUAUGUAAUCUUGGGCAUAACACUUCACCUCUCAGGGCCUCCUCUCAAAAAUGAGGCAGUUUUGCCUGAACAGUCAAUGUUCCUUCCAAGAUAUUAUGAUUCCUUUAUUAUGAUUCCACACACACACACACACACACACACACACACACACACACACACAUUUUUGGAGAGCAAACUUGAUUUAAAUGCACAGGCCGUUUAAUCCAGCAAUUCACAAUUCCACUUUCCUGAUUCUAUACUACAGAAGUAUCCAUACUACUAUAUAAAGUCACAUACAUAGGAUGUUUAUCAGUGUUACACGUAACAGCAAAAUAAAAUUAUAAGCAACUUAAUGUUCAUCAAUAGAGGAAAGGUUAAAUUAACUGAAGACAUUUAUACAACAGAAUAUUUUAAAGGAAUUAGGUACAUCUUUAUGUGCUGAUGUAGAUAGUACCUACAAAAUGGUGUUACCAUGUUGCAAAUAUUUUUUCUCAGUUUGUCUUGUCCACAAUAGGCUUGGGAGCCAGAUGGCCUGAAUUCAAAGAUCUGCAUCAUGGUUUUCUACUCUUCAUUACAGACAAAUUCCAUAAUAUAUGUAAACUUCAGUUUCCUCCUCUGUUAAGUGGGAAUAAUUACAGAACCUACCUUAGAGUAUAAUUAUAACACUUAUUCAAGUAAAACAUGACAAGCAUAAGUGCUCAGUAACUGUUAGAUAUUAUUUCCUAUUAAGCAAAGUUUUGUUGGUGGUGGUGGUGGUGGUAAUAGACUCAAAUCUAUCAAUCUUUUCCUAUUUCUUGAUUUUAGCUUCCCUACCUGAAGUAAUCCUAAUAAAAGUAAUUUUUCCCUCAAAUAGAUAGCUAAUUCUUGCCAUUUACCAUGCAAUCCAUGCUCUUGUCACUAGUUUGAAAUGCCAUCUUUAUCAUUAGCAAAAUUCCUAUAUAUGCAUAAGUCCAUUUCUGACCUCUAAACCAGGAAUCAGCAAAUAUUUUAGGUCAGACAGUAAAUGUCACAACCAGUUGAUUCUGCCUUUGCAGCACAAAAGCAGUCACAGAUGAUAUGUAAGUGAAUGAGUAUAGUUGUGUUCCAAGGGACACUGAAAUUUGAACUUCAUAUAAUUUUCAUGGGUCAUGAAGCAUUAUUUUCUUUUUCUCCCCAAAGCAUUAGAAAGUAUAGGGCUGGGCACGGUGGCUCAUGCGUGUAAUCCCAGCACUUUGGGAGGCUGAGGCAGGCAGAUCACGAGGUCAGGAGUUCAAGACCAGCCUGAGGAACACGGUGAAACCCCGUCUCUACUAAAAAUUAGCCGGGCAUGGUGGCAUGCACCUGUAAUCCCAGCUACUCAGGAAGCCGAGGCAGGAGAAUCACUUGAACCCAGGAAACAGAGGUUGCAGUGAGCCAAGAUCACGCCACUGCACUCCAGCCUGGGCAACAGAGUGAGACUCUGUCUCAAAAAUAAAUAAAUAAAUAAAUAAACAAAUAAAUAAAUACAAAAUAAAAAAAAUAAAAAGUGUAAAAGCCAGUCUUAGAUCACAGGCUAUACUAAAACAGGCAGCCAGCCAUACUGGCAACCCCUGCUUUAACUUCUAAAAAAUUUUUACACUUUAAAAAUUUCACAAAAUAAAUACAUGUGAUAAAAAGGUUAAACAACAUAUAAGGGCACACAACCCCAAUCCCUUCUGUGAGCUGGUAGGGAAGAAGAGUGGGGAACAGUCAGCAAACCUAACACAUCUUUCCAUAAGCUCUCAGAAAAGGCAUACUUCUUGUUCGUCCCCACUGUACAGACAAAGAAACAGACCAGAGAGGGAAGGGUUGAUCUAUAUUUGCCAGUCCUUUGUCCUCUGAUACUUAUUUCUCCCUGGCUCAGGAUGCCCAAGACUGUGCCUGGACACUCCUACCUUCGCGAUCUCUGUUAUCUCUGUGGUUAUUUCUUCUUUU